UACGGGGGGGGCAAGCGUUGUUCGGAAUUACUGGGCGUAAAGGGCGCGUAGGCGGGCUGCCGCGUCCGGGGUGAAAUCCUCCCGCUCAACGGGAGAACGGCCUCGGAUACGGGCGGCCUCGAGGGGGGUAGGGGCAUGCGGAACUGUGGGUGGAGCGGUGAAAUGCGUUGAUAUCCACAGGAACUCCGGUGGCGAAGGCGGCGUGCUGGACCCCAUCUGACGCUGAGGCGCGAAAGCCAGGGGAGCGAACGGG
rnacentral:rRNA from 1 species